CUCUGGCAAGACUGGCAGGGAGAAAAGAG
ncrna:unclassified sequences L31-Firmicutes ribosomal protein leader